CUGUUUCAAACCAGAGACAGGUACAGCUGGUCUGAAGCUCUUUGAAAUGGAAACAGUUCUAUCUUUGGAGAUGAGGAAGCCUAAGGAAAAAAUGAACCCAUCCUCCAUUACGAGCGAGAGUGUUUUAACUACUCUCUUCGCCAACCAUGGCUAUGAUGAGCAGCCAGAGGUUUCUCUACCAAGUGAAUUAAACAGUAAAGUCACUGUGACAGAGAAUUCAUUGAAAAAGAACAUCAAGGAAUCCAAGAGCAGUCGGUUUUUGGAGAAGGACAAACGCAUUCUGGAAGAGCUGAAGAGUCUGCAUUGUG